UGGGGAAUAUUGCACAAUGGAGGGAACUCUGAUGCAGCGACGCCGCGUGAACGAAGAAGGCUUUCGAGUCGUAAAGUUCUUUUAUAUGGGAAGAUAAUGACGGUACCAUAAGAAAAAGCCCCGGCUAACUACGUGCCAGCAGCCGCGGUAAUACGUAGGGGGCUAGCGUUGUCCGGAAUCACUGGGCGUAAAGGGUUCGCAGGCGGAAAUGCAAGUAAGGUGUAAAAGGCAGUAGCUUAACUACUGUAAGCAUUUGAAACUGCAUAUCUUGAGAAGAGUAGAGGUAAGUGGAAUUUUUAGUGUAGCGGUGAAAUGCGUAGAUAUUAAAAAGAAUACCGGUGGCGAAGUCGACUUACUGGGCUCAUUCUGACGCUGAGGAACGAAAGCGUGGGUAGCAAACAGG
rnacentral:rRNA from 1 species